CCUACGGGAGGCAGCAGUGGGGGAUAUUGCACAAUGGGGGGAACCCUGAUGCAGCGACGCCGCGUGGGUGAAGAAGGGCCUCGGGGCGUAAAGCCCUGUCAGCAGGGAAGAAAAUGACGGUACCUGAAGAAGAAGCCACGGCUAACUACGUGCCAGCAGCCGCGGUAAUACGCAGGGGGCAAGCGUUAUCCGGAUUUACUGGGUGUAAAGGGGGCGGAGACGGCAGCGCAAGCCAGGGGGGAAAGCCCGGGGCCCCACCCCGGGACUGGUCUUGGAACUGCGCGGCUGGAGUGCAGGUGGGGCAGGCGGAAUUCCUGGUGUAGCGGUGAAAUGCGUAGAUAUCAGGCGG
rnacentral:rRNA from 1 species